GGCGGGGAGGUGUAGUGGUCUGCAUACGAGGCUCAUAAUCUUGUGGAUGUAGGGUUCGAUUCCCUACCCCCGCCACCA
rnacentral:tRNA from 1 species